rnacentral:misc_RNA from 1 species
AAAAAAAAAAAAAAAAGAAAACACCGUGAAGUCCCUUCAUAACUAGAGUUUCUUUUAUCCUUUUAGCUGCAUAUUUUGUUUGCUUCGAAAUCUAUACAUCUCUUUUUCCUUCCAGGGAUAGAAGCUUCCUCUAGUGAAACCAAACAAAUCUCUCUGUAGGUUUUAAAUUGCCUCAUUUUCAUCCAUAUACAUAACACAAUCUAAUGUCACUGUACAGUUUUAAAAAGUCAUAACAAUAGUAUUAAGAAAUUACGAACCAAGUACCCAUUUGGCAUUAUGGUGGGAAAGUUAAAACUUCUUUUCAGAUAAAGAAUAUCAUUUUAGAUGUUAGUAGUUUGUAAAAAGUUAUUUUAUAAUUUUAAUAUUAAAUUAUUUAUGAAUAUUCUUGGGCUAAUAUAUUUAAAAAAUAUAUAUAUUUUUCUUAAUAGUAAUUCUAAAAACAAUGCCAAACACAGGUAAUACAGCUUGCAGGAAAAUAGCCUACAGUGGUGGGUUGAAAAAAAGCUUUUAUUUUCACCUGAAUAGAAAACAGUUGAACAAGAAAUUAGUGUUGGUAUAGGUAUGUAAUGAUAUAUUUGGCCAAAUAUAAUUGUAUGAGGAAAUUAUAGAAACACAGCAAAUUGUUAUGAAAAAAAAUAAUCCAAAAGAAU